AAUCCCCAGGCCAGCCUCAUUUCGCCUUCACCAUCUGAAUCUAUCCGAAAAUGAAGCCCUACCCAUUGACAAAUCUUCCGUCAGAGAUCAUCGCCAUCAUCUUCUCAAAGCUCCCAAUUUCAACCCUUGCAAUCAGCAAAUGUGUCUGCAAACGGUUGCUGAAUCUGCUGGAGGAUGAUUACUUUAUCAAUUCCUAUUUUUCAAGAUUAUCCCCCGCCCUAGCUGUGAUGCUGCCACUGAGCCCCAAAUACCGCUGCAAAAUUUUCGAAUUGGAAGACGAUCUCGAUCUCGACUGCCACAAUCCACUCACCUGCUUCGAUUUCCGCAGAGGAGCACGAAUAGAGGUUUCCGCUAACGGUUUGCUCAUCCUCGAAAAAUACGAGAAACAUCGCCAAGCCUUUUACGUGUGUAAUCCGAUCACUCGCGAAUCAAUUCGCCUGUAUCCGGCCCCAGAAGGAUGUUCUCACGGAUUCGGGAAGAGCAGAAUCGGCGGGCAAUUCAAGUUUGUGAUACUUGAUGGCAGAUCUGGAUAUCAUGUAUACACUCUCGGAACAGGAGGUUCGUGGAGACACGUUGCUGAACCUGUCCCGAUCUGGCACAGUCAUAAGUCUUUUGCUGAAUCGGUAAAUGGCAUUCUCCAUUGGGAAACGUGUAGCUGUCGAUUGAUUUCCUGUUUUGAUUUGGAAACAGAGUGUUUUAGCACAUUUCCUGGCCCUCCUAUUCAAGGGAAUAAUUUUCAUUCGCGACUGCUUACUUUGAGGGAUUGUUUGUGUUUUUGUGAGCGGUCGUCUGUCCAUGAAAUGGUUACCUGGUUGGUGAAGGAUUAUGAGAUUGAGAAAACUUGGACGAAGGAGUUUGUGAUCCCCUUGAAUUCUGCUAUUUUUAGUGGAGUUCAAUUCACAUAUAUUCAGCCUCUCAAAGCUUUUGCCAAUGGUGAUAUGUUGAUGGCGUGUGAUUACAGCAAGAUUUUCUACUACUCCAACACCACUAAGGAUUAUCACCAAAUUUCAUUGCUCGGUGAACCGGAGGAGUGCUACUAUUUGACCUCUGUGCAUUUCACUCCAACCAUUCUUUCACUCAAAAGUUUCAGAAUGGAGAAAGUCACCUCAUUUUGAUUACAUUACAUGUAUGGAUGGUCGUUUGCGUUUAUGUCGAUGAUGUAAUCUACAUGGAAUCGUCUCCCUCUUUUGUUGCUGGGUGCAUGAUGCACGUGUUUCAGAUAAGAGGAUUUGGGAUUUGGCCCCAAAUUAAUGCUGCUGACCGUCUUCUGCAACAAUUCAACCUGUCCAACUGCAAAGCUGUCUACUCCCAUGCGUUUCUGCAGGCUGAAGAUGGAAGCCGUAGUGCUGAUGCAAGUAGGAGUUAGGAAUGUGUUGGCUGAUUUGGGUCACCAGCAAAAGGAGGUGACUCGGAUUUCCUGUGAGAAUGCGGACAUGAGCAAGAACACGCUACAGCAUGGAAGAAAAGAGCACAUUGAGGUAAAGUUGGAGGAUUUUACAAGAGAGUUGGUUGCUGGUGACUUGCAUCUCUUUCAUGAAUUGCGAUGCUCUUGAACAGCAAACAGACAUAUUCACUAAGGCGACAUGCUGGGCUCAGAAUUCGAAUUGGGAGUCUGCAGUUAUGAAUGAAACAUCAUGGUUCAAGAUUCGCAGCUUGUCCUUCUCUACAUUUAGACUCUGUUUAAUAUCAUAUUUUGUCUCUGGAUUUCAGUAUAACUAAUUGCAUCUACAAAGUUUCAAUGGGUAAUUUGAAAAAAUAUACUCAACUGUCACUCUGAUGGAACUUCUCUGAACUGAUGAGAUUUGAAA